UACAGAGGUCCCGAGCGUUGUUCGGAUUCAUUGGGCGUAAAGAGCUCGUAGGCGGCUCAGUAAGUCAGGUGUGAAACCUCCAGGCUCAACCUGGAGACGCCACCUGAUACUGCUGUGGCUUGAGUCCGGUAGGGGAGUGUGGAAUUCCUGGUGUAGCGGUGAAAUGCGCAGAUAUCAGGAGGAACACCAGCGGCGAAGGCAGCUCACUGGGACGGUAUUGACGCUGAGACGCGAAAGCGUGGGAAGCAAACAGG
rnacentral:rRNA from 1 species